AAAAAUCUUACAAAUUAUUUAUCGUAUAAUAGAAGUCACGUAUGUAGGUAAUCUUCAUACAUGGAUUCCAGAUUCUCUUGUAGCGAUGGGUCAUUUGAAGGAGAGACUUUAACAUUCUAAUGUACACCACUAUUGUAGAAGACCUUGCAAUACUGCAACAGUUCUAACUAAUUGUCCCAAUUAUUAUAACCAUCUUAUAUUUCGAAUAUUCUACGAAUACAUGUGUAUGAGUAUUUUGCGAAGAAAUUAAAUUUGUCCCUUGGUCGGUAAGAAUGGUUCGUGGCAAUCCUAAUUGACGAAUAACAUUUCUUAUAAAAACAUUGGCUAUAUCCAUCAGGUCUACUCAGGGGCACUACUACAAACUACGCAUUUAAUGAAUUCUGUUUAUUAAUAAACUAAUAUCCAUACUGAUCUUCGCAAACGCUUGCCAAGGUGUACUACUGUUAUUACCAGUGGUUGUUUUGUCUUCUUUAUACGCAUAAGUUUUUUUGAGUAACAUAGCUUGAGGUUGCUUACUUUAUUAAUGCUGAAGGACCUCAAGGUUGUUUCCUCGAUUAUAACGUACAAAAGUCUCAUGCCAUUCAUGAAGUUAUUUUGAAUGAAUAAGAAUUUUCCAAUGCCCAUUAAUUGACAGGGGUACAAUUUAUUUUCUUUUAUUGAAUUUUGUUUUAGUUCUUCCAUCAAAUAUCCUCUGGCUUUGAAAUCGUGCAUCCCCUUUUGUCUACUGCUUCUUCUGUCGAUGAAUAUUAUUUUGUAGUCUUCAACGAAAGCUAGCGAAUCUCGAGUUUCGAUAUUUAUUCGAAAUUCGCAUUGUCAGAAAUAAACUUCUUAUUGUUGUGCUUUCAAAAAUCAUUAAUUAUUUUUCGUGUUACUUGGAUUCUGUAUCGUUGGUUAAUUCUAUAAUAUUUUCUUUGGCUAUUUAUUGCUUAUCUGCGUCCAUAGAAUCAAAUUACUAUGAUACAAUGAAUCGAAGAUGAGGGGAAUCUUUUCUUGGAUGUAGUGGCAUAUGGGUUCGUCUUGUAAACUUGUCGAUGUAAAUUUGUUUUGUAAACUUGUCGGGUGGUUUCCUUUCCUCCUUGAUGGAUCAUUACUUUCUUUUCUGUAAUAUGUUUGGUAGAAACGAAUCUUCCGAGAUUUUGUUUUCUUUUUGCUCUUUUCUUUUUUGAGAGGGUUUCUGGUUAGUGGAUCCGUGUUUAGUGUGAAACUUUCCAUGUUUGUAGGUAAUAUUACAGUCGUAAUUAGAAAGCUUCAAUUUCUAUUUCCAACUUUAUGAAGUACAAUUCUUAAACGAAUUCAAGUAUGGUCUAAAAUGAGUUCCACAAUAUGCAAUUAUUAAACAUUCCUUUUUCAUAGUGAAAGACAUUCUUUUCAACAGGAUUUGAAGUUCCACAUGCAUAAUGAGGUAAAAAGGUCUAUUCACAGAGGUCCUUGAUUCAAACCACCACCUGUAGCAUGUCUUGAUGGAUUUGUUAUUAAAUUCAAGAGUUUAGUAAAAUAUAAAUGAUCCAUUGAAGAAACAUAGUUUUGCAUUAUGUCAACACUAUAAGCGUGUUUUCGGGAACGUAAUUUGAGGGAUGAGUGUACUUAACAUUACCGAAUUCAAUCAAAGAAUGCACAUACAAAAGGUGAAUAUAAUUACCAUCAAACUCUGGACUAUCAGCACCCUGCACCAUGCAAGAAAUUAGCUUUGUUUUCCAAAUAAAAUCAUCUGAAUGAAAGUUGGAUUUACUAAACAAACAUUGUUGUUUACAUCAAUGAAUAAUUAAUUUCUUUUUGAAUAUGUAAAAUAUGUAAAUAUAAAAUACAAAUGUAUAAUAUUAUUAAGUUA